AGGAUGAACGCUGGCGGCGUGCCUAACACAUGCAAGUCGGACGAGGUAGCAAUACCUAGUGGCAGACGGGUGAGUAACGCGUGGUCAACCUACCGUUGAGCGGGGGAUAACUAGCCGAAAGGUUAGCUAAUACCGCAUACGUCUAGCACGGCAUCGUGCAAAGAUAAAAGCCGCAAGGCACUCGACGACGGGACCGCGUCCCAUUAGUUAGUUGGUGGGGUAAUGGCCUACCAAGACUCCGAUGGGUAGCUGGUUUGAGAGAGCGACCAGCCACACUGGGACUGAGAAACGGCCCAGACUCCUACGGGAGGCAGCAGUGAGGAAUUUUCCGCAAUGGGCGAAAGCCUGACGGAGCGACGCCGCGUGUGGGAAGAAGGCCUUCGGGUCGUAAACCACUGUCGAAGGGGAAGAUAUUGACGGUACCCUUGGAGGAAGCCCCGGCUAACUACGUGCCAGCAGCCGC
rnacentral:rRNA from 1 species